GUGGAGGACUUAAAAACAAAAAUGGUUCUGUUACCACACAAGACUGGAUAUGUGGCAUUGCCACUCCUGCACUAGUGUGCUACCUAUUUGUUUUUUUUGUUUUUUUUUGUUUUUUGUUAUGCAUGUAUGAAUUUCUAUUGAUGUGUAUUUUUUUUUCUUUAAGCAUGUUGCCUUUUGCAAUUGUUGAUUUUGAAAAUGGUGGAGGAUUGGCAGUGAUUCCGACCAAAUGGUUUAUCGGGCCUGAGGAGGAUGAAUGCUACUGGUCACCAGCAAGAGUUAACAUUGCAAAGGCGGUCAUAGAGCAACAGGACCCCCACCCUGACUGGGCAAUCUACAAGUUGACUGUCAAGAGAAAAGCAACAGCAACAUACGAGAUAGCCCGUAUAAAAUUGGUUGAGUUUGAACAGAACACAGAUGUCCCGACAGAGUCUGAUUCUGCGGAGAACAUUGGAGGGGAAGCGCAAAAAGAGGUCAGCCACAUCACCACCCGAAACAAAAAAGGGACAACAUCCUUGUUCGCAUCCUGACAGUCCUUGAGGAACUCAAAGAAGACAAUCGAGU